rnacentral:rRNA from 1 species
GUCUAUGGUUAUACCACCCUGAAUGUGCCCAAUCUUGUCUGAUCUCGGAAGCUAAGCAGGGUCAGGCCUGGUUAGUGCUUGGAUGGGAGACUGCCUGAGAAUACUGGGUGCUGUAGGCU